CGUAGUUCUCACUCAGUACUCUUAUCCCAAGAAGGCGUUACACACUUACAUCCAUUUCAUGGUCAUAUUUAUUAUUACUGCUAUUAAUGACCACAGUAAAGCUGACUUUGUGAGUCUCUGGGACAAGGGGAAUGAAUUUGAGUGGGUGGGACAGAAAGAGGGAAGCAUCUCAGGAUGAAAGAACAAGUGACCAGUGGGUCUGGGGCAGGAGGAGACGCUGAGAGACUGAGGGAGAUUCUUGCAGAGUUUGCCAAAAUUAGGGUUACUACACAUGUCCCUGGGGUAAGACUGGAAUUACAUUACAUUCUGAAGUGGUUACUAAGUGAAUAGGAAGCAACAGACAGACAAGGUGUGGCCAAAAAGCCUUCACCAUCUUUCAAGGAAGACAUACUGGAAGAACCUAAAACCAGGGCAUGGUGGACCAGGAGAUAGGAAAUGAAUUAUUAAGAUGCUGUCCAAGUGGAAGUCACAACUUGGACACUUGAUGAGAAUUAAAAGUGGGUGGGGAAGAGGGCCAGGUCCUCCUGUGAUUCUGGGGCUUUCUGGGUGAGUGUUGGCCAUGCCAGCAGCUGCCCUUCUGAUCUCCAAGGGGUUGGGGUUCCACGUUGUCAUGGCUGGAUGUGUACCAAGCCAAGCUCUGUUCCAGAAAUCCUUAUCACUGCUGGUGGUGAAAACGUGCCCCCCAUUCCCGUUGAGACCUUGGUUAAGAAGAAGAUCCCCAUCAUCAGUAACGCCAUGUUAGUAGGAGAUAAACUGAAGUUUCUGAGCAUGUUGCUGACGCUGAAGGUAACAUGGGUUUGCUGCCAUUGGGGGAAGUCUCUGCAGCCGGUCUUACGUUCCCUGGCCCCACCCCAGGGUCAAGAGGAUGCAUCUGUGGGUUCAAGACCCACUUCUUGGUCUGUGGGCCUGGGGAGGGGUGCUGGUCAAGGAGUAUGUGUGGUGACAGAGGUGUCCGGGGGCAGUGUGAGAUGAAUCAGAUGAGCGGAGAACCUCUGGACAAGCUGAACUUGGAGGCCAUCAACUUCUGCCGGGGUCUGGGCAGCCAGGCAUCCACCGUGACUGAGAUUGUGAAGCAGCAAGACCCCCUGGUCUACAAGGCCAUCCAGCAAGGCAUCAAUGCCGUGAACCAGGAAGCCAUGAACAAUGCACAGAAGAUUCAAAAGUGGGUCAUCUUGGAGAAGGACUUUUCCAUCUAUGGUGGAGAGCUAGCCUUCAGCAGGAAGACCUCAUUGCAAUAAGUGAAAUGCUGCUCUGGGUAGAAGCUCUUCCUGCUGUUUUUAAGGAGUCACAUUCCUCAUUAGUCAGUUUCUUGAUUGCUCGUCUGUUGAAGAGGUGCUCCCUAGAAGAACCUGCCAUACGUUUCAAAGCACUAAAAUCAUCGUAGAUCUUUCUAUGGACCUUCAAGUCAUGACCCCAGGGAAGCCUCACUGGGAAGUCUACCAAGAGCUGCCUGAUUUGGAAGAAAGAUCUGAACUUGUGGGUUCCCAUUUGAUUUUUUUUUUCUCCUCAGGGGACUUAAAGAGACAUUAGAAAGAAAAAGCCUUCACAGAUUUGAAGAACUGGGCCCCCAGAUGAACUCACCUGCCUGGAAGCAACUGGGAAACCCUUCCAAUAAGUUCUGAUAAUAAAGCACUUCAGGGCCCCACGUCUUGAUUUUUGGCUUGACACAAAUACUUCGUCCUUUAUUUAGUGUGAUGGGGAGGGGCUUGGC
rnacentral:lncRNA from 1 species